UACAGAGGGUGCAAGCGUUAAUCGGAAUUACUGGGCGUAAAGCGUGCGUAGACGGUAGCGUAAGUCGGGUGUGAAAGCCCCGGGCUCAACCUGGGAAUUGCAUUCGAGACUGCUCUGCUAGGGUGCGGAAGAGGGGAGCGGAAUUUCCGGUGUAGCGGUGAAAUGCGUAGAUAUCGGAAGGAACACCAGUGGCGAAAGCGGCUUCCUGGUCCAGUACCGACGUUCAGGCACGAAAGCGUGGGGAGCAAACAGG
rnacentral:rRNA from 1 species